rnacentral:ncRNA from 1 species
AAAGCUCGUGGUAGAGGUGCUUGUCGAUCUUUCCUCGCCAAGGAGAGGCGAGAAGAGGAGGAUAGCCAGAGUGGAGUUUUUCAGGUGGUGGUGCAUGGCCGUUCUUAGUUCGUGGGGUGACUUGUCUGCUUAACUGCGAUAACGAGCGAGACCUUACUCUGCUAAAUAGCUAGGCUAACUUUGGUUGGUCGCCGGCUUCUUAGAGAGAGUAUCAACUUAAGUUGAUAGAAGUUUGAGGCAAUAACAGGUCUGUGAUGCCCUUAGAUGUUCUGGGCCGCACGCGCGCUACACUGACAGAGCCAACGAGUUCUUUUCCUUGUUCGAAAGAAUUGGGUAAUCUUGUUAAAUUCUGUCGUGCUGAGGAGAGGAUAGCCAGAGUGGAGGAGGA